GAGGGUGUAGCUCAGUGGUAGAGCAUGUGCUUAGCAUGCAUGAGGCCCUUGGUUCAGCCUCA
rnacentral:tRNA from 1 species